GCAGGUGCAUGCCUCUAGCAUGAAGUCAGACAAGUGAACCCGCUGAAUUUAAGCAUAUCAAUAAGCGGAGGAAAGGGCG
rnacentral:rRNA from 1 species